rnacentral:snoRNA from 1 species
CUGUAGCCAAUAAGGCUGACUGUACUACAGUAGCCUCCUUGGUAGUAUAUGCAGCUUGUUGGGAUUGUAUGGGUUGCCUUAAGGGACCUUAGAGACAGCC